ensembl:lncRNA SEPTIN7P11 septin 7 pseudogene 11
UGGCCGCAGGCGGCCGGGCGGGCUGUAACCCGCCGCUGAACUAGCGCUUCUGUGUCCAGAGGCUUCGGCCUGGCCGCCGUCGCCUGUAAGCUACGAGGAGGAGAUUUACGACUUGGCCGGGCGCAGCAAAGGCCAGACUCUGCGCGAACAGGCGCUGCGCACCAACCGGCAGGCACCUGGCGGGCACCAUCGCACGGUGGCGCAGAAGCCCCUCAAUGGCCAGCGCCAGCUGCAGCCGCGGCCGCGCAGUCGUCCCACCUGAGCUUGGGCGAAUGUGGAUUGGGAAAGUCGACAUUAAUCAACUCAUUAUUCCUCAUAGAUUUGUAUUCUCCAGAGUAUCCAGGUCCUUCUCACAGAAUUAAAAAGACUGUACAGACUUAAACCAUUGGAUAUUGAGUUUAUGAAGCGUUUGCAUGAAAAAGUGAGUAUCACCCCACUUAUUGCCAAAGCAGACACACUCACACCAGAGGAAUGCCAACAGUUUAAAAAACAGGUAACUUUUCCGGUCACACACAACAGACUGAUUUUCCUGUGGAAGACCUCACAGGAGUUCUCUUGAACCAGGAGACUAUUUUGAGCUGAAAUACCUGGAGCCCUCUCAAGCUAUUUGGGCCUUUCAAUUUGAAACCCAGGUUUGGAUGAUUCUAAGCUCUAUGGCAGAGACUGUAAUCAUUUUCUCUUCACCCUCAGGUUGGGGACUCACCCUCAGGGUUGGGAGUGACUGCUGUCUCUCCAGCCCCCACCAAUUACACCAUGUUCUGGUUGUUAAAAUCCAGUGUAUGCAUGAAAUGUAAUAAAAGUAUCUUCGCAGCAC